GUAGGGGGCAAGCGUUAUCCGGAUUUACUGGGUGUAAAGGGCGUGUAGGCGGGAUCGCAAGUCAGAUGUGAAAACUGGAGGCUCAACCUCCAGCCUGCAUUUGAAACUGUGGUUCUUGAGUACUGGAGAGGCAGACGGAAUUCCUAGUGUAGCGGUGAAAUGCGUAGAUAUUAGGAGGAACACCAGUGGCGAAGGCGGUCUGCUGGACAGCAACUGACGCUGAGGCGCGAAAGCGUGGGGAGCAAACAGGAUUAGAUACCCUUGUUGUCCACGCCGUAAACGAUGAGUACUAAGUGUUGGAUGUCAAAGUUCAGUGCUGCAGUUAACGCAAUAAGUACUCCGCCUGAGUAGUACGUUCGCAAGAAUGAAACUCAAAGGAAUUGACGG
rnacentral:rRNA from 1 species